AUUUAACGGGGCUAAACCUGACACCGAAGCUUAGGCAAUACAGUAAUGUAUUGGGUAGGGGAGCGUUGUAUAUGCGGAGAAACAGUAGCGCAAGCGGCUGUGGAGUGUAUAGAAGUGAGAAUGCCGGAAUGAGUAGCGCGAAUGCAGUGAGAAUCUGCAUGGCCGAAAGCCUCAGGUUUCUGGAGGAAGGUUCGUCCGCUCCAGGUUAGUCGGGAGCUAAGGUGAGGCCGGAAGGCGUAGCCGAUGCACAGACGGUAGAGAUUCCGUCACCGCCAAAAGAGUUAAGCACAGGGACACAUAUGAAGUCUCAGAGCCGGGUGUUGGUUCCGGUAGAGAUCGAGGGAAGUUAGUACCGAAGUCUGAGAUGGAAGAUGGCGAGAAAAGCUGUGUGUAUUUCUGAGGUGCCCGUACCGCAAACCGACACAGGUAGGUAGGAAGAAGAUUCUAAGGCCAACGGGAGAAGGGUUGUUAAGGAACUCGGCAAAUUGACCCCGUAACUUCGGGAGAAGGGGUGCUCCAGAGAUGGAGCCGCAGAGAAUCGGCCCAAGCAACUGUUUACCAAAAACACAGGUUUGUGCUAAAUCGAAAGAUGACGUAUACGAGCUGACGCCUGCCCGGUGCUGGAAGGUUAAGAGGAGAUGUGCAAGCAUUGAAUCGAAGCCCCAGUGAACGGCGGCCGUAACUAUAACGGUCCUAAGGUAGCGAAAUUCCUUGUCAGGUAAGUUCUGACCCGCAUGAAAGGCGUAAUGAUUUGGGCACUGUCUCAACAGCCCGCCCGGCGAAAUUGUAGUACCGGUGAAGAUGCCGGUUACCCGCGACAAGACGGAAAGACCCCAUGGAGCUUUACUGUAGCCUAAUAUUGGGUUUCGAUGUUGCAUGCACAGGAUAGAUGGGACUCUGGGAAACCAAGGCUUUGGCUUUGGCGGAGAGGCCGUUGGGAUACCAUCCUUGCGAUAUUGGAAUUCUAACCUGCGGCUCUGAAUCGAGUCGGGGGACAUUGUUAGGUGGGCAGUUUGACUGGGGCGGUCGCCUCCUAAAGAGUAACGGAGGCGUUCAAAGGUUCGCUCAGCUUGAACGGAAAUCAAGCAAAAGAGUGCAAACGCAGAAGCGAGCCUAACUGCGAGACUGACGGGUCGAGCAGUAACGAAAGUUGGAGUUAGUGAUCCGGUGGUAUGUGAGUGGAAAUGCCAUCGCUCAACGGAUAAAAGUUACCCUGGGGAUAACAGGCUGAUCUCCCCCAAGAGUCCACAUCGACGGGGAGGUUU
rnacentral:rRNA from 1 species